UGGUCCUCAAAUUGUGUGAUUACACAUUUUCAGAAUUUACAUUACGUCAAAAAUUUUAUAAUUAACCAAAGGAAACUUUAGGAAUUUGUUUUUUGGAGGAGAUGCCAUGAAGGAACUGUUAUAUUUAUUGCAUUUGUUUGUUCAGUGUUCCAAUUUGGAACUUGAACCAGGGUUCUACUAAGAUCAGAAAAAAUAUAUGGUAAUGUGUACCCUAUAAACAUAGAAAUAUGUGCAAUAUCUGAGGAUUAAACUAUAAAGCCAUUGUAUAAUUAUAGAAUGGCUUAUACAAGAUAAUUAAAAUACUUCGAGUUAGAAUGUUUCUCAGGCCAGUGAGAAUUGACUAAAACUGAGAAAUAAUGCGUUAAUCUGAAGAAAGGCUUGAUCAGCUACGCAGACCUAGUAAAAGAAGUCCCAAAGAGAUGAGCAUUGGUAACUCUUAUCCAUGUACAUUUUCGUCUCACUGGCAAAAACCACCCUUGAUAUGAGAUUGAUGAAGCUAAUCAAAUACUCUGAUUUCAGUUGCCUUUGCAUUGAAACACCCCUUAUCAAGCAGCCUGCCAUCUGACUGUGAUCUGCCUUCCCACGUACACUGUCUAGAGAGAGAAUGCACAGGUCUUCCGGAUGGAUGAGAAUGACUACUAUGCAUCAUGUGCCGGUUAUUUUACAUCAAAUUCCAUCAUCUUUGUGUUGUCCACAGCAGCUUGCACCUAUAUUGCUUGACCAGCUACCCACUUGCAGUGGACAGAAACUGCAGCGGAAUUUCUUUCAUUGGAGCCUGGGAAUUACAGCCUAAUGUGUAUAGCUGAACUUUGCUGAAGCACUGAGCUCUGAUUAAUGCAGUAAAAUGAAUAAAAAGGUACGUGGUGUUGUCUUCAAGGUUGCUGUUUCCUACUAAAGAAUGCAUUUCUCCUUCUGUACUCUUUUUCUUUUCUUUUUUUUUUU